rnacentral:tRNA from 3 species
GGGGGUAUAGCUCAGCUGGGAGAGCGCUUGAAUGGCAUUCAAGAGGUCAUGGGUUCGAAUCCCACUAUCUCCAC